GUGUCAGCAGCCGCGGUAAUACGAAGGGUCCAAGCGUUAUCCGGAUUUAUUGGGUUUAAAGGGUGCGCAGGCGGGGCCUUAAGUCAGUGGUGAAAUCUCGUAGCUCAACUACGAAACUGCCAUUGAUACUGAGGUUCUUGAAUGUAGUUGACGUUAGUGGAAUGUGUCAUGUAGCGGUGAAAUGCUUAGAUAUGACACAGAACACCGAUCGCGAAGGCAGCUAACGAAGCUAUUAUUGACGCUCAGGCACGACAGCAUGGGGAGCAAACAGGAUUAGAUACCCUAGUAGUCC
rnacentral:rRNA from 1 species